CUCCGUUUUGUUUGAAAGUGAAACACUCGUCUUUUCUCAAAUAGAGUGCCUCCUAUAAAAAAACUAUUUAUCACCAAUAUUCCUACGAGAGGGGUGAAUCCAUCUGGUACUUACCGCAGCAAGAAAAGAUGAUGAUGUUGAACCAAUUUGCUGGAAGACUUUCCAAAAAAAGACGAAGAAAGAAAACAUUUCCAAAGAAUUUUGGAAUAUGUUUCUCCACAAUAAUAUGAAAAAUAAAUCUUUCAUUGCAUGCCUAUUAUGCAAAAAUUGGAAUAAGAAGGAACAAGACUCUUCUAAAAUAUCUUCCUACAAAACAAAGCAUUUCAUAUUAUUUCAUGGGUUCCUCGAAGAGGAAGAUUAUUAUAUGCUUGAUUCUUUUACAUCUAAGCACUUUCAAGUGGGAUUCUCUUUAACAACCAGACAUUUUUGACAUGUAACUAAUAGACAUGAACUCAUCUCUGCUGAAGGUGACACUACAAUCAUUGCUAUUACUGGUGACACUUAUCGCCUGACACCCAUUACUGAUGUCAGGGACUCUCAACCAGCAUAAGAACUCAUAAGAACAAACUAGCAUUCCUAUUAUUUCAUGGAUUCCUCGAAGUGAAAGAUUAUUAUAUGCUUGAUUCUUUUACAUCCAAGCACUUUCAAUUGGAGUUCUCUUUAAAAACCAGACAUUUGGCAUGUAACUGAUAGAUAUGAAUGCUUUUCUGCUGAAGAUCCUUAUAUAAAUGGAAGAAUUUUCAGAGUAUAGACAGAAACAUGUUGAUAUUGAAAGAAGUUUGAUUCUGUGUGAAGAAAGGAUUGUAGGGAGUUGGUUUAUAGCAAGUUCUGAAACCUCAGGAACUGGAAAUAAAGACCAGUAGCUUAUUUUAAAGUAAGCAGUGAUUAGUUAAUAAAAUGUAAAUAAAUUCAUAUAGUGAUCAACUUGAAA